rnacentral:rRNA from 1 species
AUGGCCCACAUAUCAGAUAUUAAACUGAUAAGAACAGAUACUACACUUGAUCUUAGCCAAAAGGCCGAGAAAGGUAUGAGUUGGAACGGUGGCCACCCCAGCUCUUUAUAG